UGUUCUUUUUUUUUGAAUAAAAUGUAAAAUUUAUUCGAAAAAAAGUAGUGUUUACAUCAAGUGCAGCGCGUUUUUAUGCCCCAAACUAGAGAAGACUAGCUCACAUAAAUUCUUACAAAAAAUAGCAAAAGUAACAAUUGUCAACUCGUGUUAUCAACGAGAGUCGAGCCACUUCGCCAUGCAGCAGGUGGGGUUCCCUUUAGGUUGGAGCGUGAGCAGCCUGUUACAGAUCUGCCUAUCGAGGUGUUUAAUUAGUUGAGCAGCUGGGGUUGGAGCUUCCCCGUGACGGCGUCUAUUCCGCUCCUGCCAGAGGGAGUGAAGAGAAGCCUGGAAAGCAUAACGCAGGAGAAACAGAGUAACAGGUCCCAAAGUGGUGUCAACCAGAAGAAUCAGAGUUUCUCUGCUCGGAUAUUGUCUUUGGAAUCUACAAGUUAAAAAACGCAAAGAGAUUCUUCAGGGUGUUGGAUCUCGUCGCGGAUUUGAUGGUUUAUGUUGCGGAUCCGAUUGUUAAAAUUAAAUUUUUUUUUAUUUGAUUAAUUUUUGUAAUUAGAACUCUUGGGUUCACAAGAUAGUAUCCUUUAGGGUUUAGA